AAGUGGGUGGUAAGUUGAAGGAGUUGACGUCACCGUUAAGUUAUUGGCAGCAAAGUACUGAAAAAUUAGAAGUUAGAGGAAUAGAAUAUUAAUUAUUGUCGUUUCCAAGUGACAAUCAGUCAAUUUUCAUUGAUGAUAUUGAGGAUUUCUUUUUUGCUCCGCGCUUCUUGAUAUGCAAUUAUCUUGAAGCCGGUUGGGGUUGAUUCUUUAAAAAAAUAUUCCAAUUUGAAUAGGGAACUCAUGCGUUGCGUUAGGUUGUGUGCGUGUGUAAUCGGUGAGUGACUUUAUCAGCGUUGUAAGAGUCGUUCCGUUGUGUUUGAAUCAUUCAUUAGGAAAAGUUCCAAAACGCAAUCCAAAGUUUGACAUCUCUUUGUUGAUAUUUUGCGAAUCAUAAACAUAAAAACGCAGUCGGCUUUAUUGAUCAAAUUAUUGCUACUAAGCGAAGAAAAUAACAAUCAUUGUGCUUUGAACGGAAAACUUAUCCGAUAAAGAUUGCGUUCGUCGUACGGAACCAUGUCAAAACACAAGACCACAUAUCUUGAUGCGGAUUCGAGUUUGCUGGAGCAGAAUCUCCGUUUUGUGAAGGAUGAAACGGAGGAACAGUUCAACAACAUGUUUGCACCAAUAGUGGAACAGGCCAAAGAUAUCAGCAGUGGUCGUUCUAAACUGGUCAAACCUUCUCCCGGUAAGUACACA